rnacentral:rRNA from 1 species
GAUGAACGCUGGCGGCGUGCCUAAUACAUGCAAGUCGAGCGAACAGACGAGGAGCUUGCUCCUCUGACGUUAGCGGCGGACGGGUGAGUAACACGUGGAUAACCUACCUAUAAGACUGGGAUAACUUCGGGAAACCGGAGCUAAUACCGUAUAAUAUAUUGAACCGCAUGGUUCAAUAGUGAAAGACGGUUUUGCUGUCACUUAUAGAUGUAUCCGCGCCGCAUUAGCUAGUUGGUAAGGUAACGGCUUACCAAGGCAACGAUGCGUAGCCGACCUGAGAGGGUGAUCGGCCACACUGGAACUGAGACACGGUCCAGACUCCUACGGGAGGCCGCAGUAGGGAAUCUUCCACAAUGGGCGAAAGCCUGACGGAGCAACGCCGCGUGAGUGAUGAAGGUCUUCGGAUCGUAAAACUCUGUUAUUAGGGAAGAACAAAUGUGUAAGUAACUAUGCACGUCUUGACGGUACCUAAUCAGAAAGCCACGGCUAACUACGUG